UGAGAAUCUCCUGGAUAUCCAUGAAUGCUGGAAUGAAGCCAAAGUGGAAGUGUCCUUUAAAGGCAAAAUUGAAGAACAUAUUCUGCAUACAAAUGAACAACCCCACAUUUUCCAGUUUAUUGUACAAAAACAGCCAGAUACACUAAUCCAGAAAUUUAUGGAACAUGGAUUCGUAGUUAAUGUCAAAAGAUCAAAAAAAUGUCUUUCAAUUUCCUGUGAGGAACAUUUUAAUACAGAAGAAUUCAAGAAAAAGUUGGAGAUAAUUUUUCAGUUGUGGAUUUCUUCGACAGUGUUGAUAUCUUCAACAUGUAUGCAAAUUGAGGAAUCUUCAUGGCCUUUUAUUGAAAAAGAAUUCAGUGAGAUGGCAAAGCAGUCAUUAGAAAUGGGGCAUAUUCAGCUUAUUCAUAAAACCAAGAAUACUUACUUUUUGGUUGGAAUUAUGAAAGAAGUAGAGAAAAAUAAAUCAAUAUUAAAAUCCAUCUGUGGAAGAGUUACCAUGGAAAAAAUUGAAAAUAUGGAACUUUUUGAAGCUUUGCAGUUGAAAGAACUUUUGCAGUCAAAGUACAAAAAUGUUCAAGUACAAGUUCAUGAAGAGAAAUCUCAGUUAGUGUUAAGGGGGCAGAAAACAGAAAUCAUGGAAUGUAAAAAGUACUACCAAAGUUUGUCAGACUUAAAACAGCUGAGGUCAAAAACUUCUGAAGUGUCAAAGUAUAUGCAUGCAUUUUUAGCAUCUGAAAAAGUAAGACAGGCAAUUUAUGAAUUUCUGAAAGAGAGAGGUUUUCAUGUUUUCUUGGCAGUGAACAAUAUUAAAGAAUCAAAAUGUACUAUAACAUGUUAUGGAAUGGAAGAUAAAAGUAUUGGAGAAGCUCUUAUAUUUCUCUUCAAAGAAGUGCUUAAAGAAGUUGAAAUUGAGAAGAGACUCUUGCAAGACAAUAUGCUAAGAGUUAGGAGUGAAAAUUCUGCUACCUUUGAAAAAGAUGGAAAUUUUAUUCUUGUGUAUUAUGGUAGUUUUCCUUCAGCAGCUGAAGACAUUGAGAUACAAGGAACAGCACAAGUUAAACCAAAUUGUAUGAAAAAAGUUGUUCUCCCAUUUGCAGCUGGAGUUGCAUAUUAUUUGAAAGAAAAGCUCAAUGAAAAGUUAUCCACAAUACAAGAAGAUUGUGAUGUCUGCAUUUCAUUAGACAAAGGAGGAUGCCUCAUGUUGAGUUCAGCAUCAGAUAUUGCUAUCUGUAAAGCUAAAAAAGAACUGUUUGACUUGGUGAAGAAUAUUGCACACAAAAAGGAAGUAUUUAAAAUCAGAAGAGGCAUGAAUGGGGAUACCGUGAGAAGAGGUAUUGCAAAGGUAGAGAACAAUGGCCCUUGCUGUAUUUCACUGUCUAGAAGUGAAGCUGAAGAACCACAGUAUUACAAGUGCUGGAUUAGUAACCUAGGCAUUAAUGUUGUGAUUGCUGAGGGAAAGGUAGAGAACUCAGUCACUGAUGUGUUAGUCAGUUUUAUAGAUCAAAAUUGUGAACCACUUGGAGAAUCAUCAGUGCAAAUAUUUCAAAAAGGAGGAUGGACUGAACUGGAAAAUGCUGCAAAAUCUCAGAAAGAAGAUAAUGGGAACAUUGUCCAAGGAGCAGAUUCGUCUAAAUGCAACAUGUAUUUGUCAUCCAAUACAGCAACACUGAAUUGCAAAAGAAUUUUAUUUGUCUAUUCCAAAGAACUGGAGAAAAAUAUGGAAAUCAUAUGGGACACCUUAUGCACUGAAGUAAAAAAGAAUCGUUGGAGAAGUGUUUGUUUUCCAGUUGGUGAUAAUCAGGUUGCUGAUGCAAUUGUUCAGAAUGCUUCAAAAGGUUCUGCAAAAAAAUCUAAAAAUGGACUUGAAAUAGUUCUUUGCGUUCAGAAGGACAAGACAGAAAACAGAACACAGCUAGAAAAUAUUUGCCAAAAAGAAUUUAAAAAACCUCUUUUUCAUCCCAUCACUUUUUUUUGGGAGGAAGUGCAGAGGAAUUUGAAUGAAUCGCCUGAAAGUUUGCAGUCUUCAAUUGACAUAGAGAUCACUGUGGGGUCCAUCUUGGAUGUUGCCAAUUCUGAAAUAGUUGAUGUUAUAGUCAAUUCUACAAAUCCUUCAUUAGAACUAAAGAAGGGAUUUGUUUCAUCUCUUAUUUUGGUUCACGGUGGCCAGGGAAUACAGAAUGAAUGUGCAGAUGAGUAUAAGGAUGGCAUAGGCAUUGGAGAUAUUGCUGUCAGCUCUGCCGGAAAACUUAAAUGCAUGAAAAUUAUUCACUGUGUUUUAUUUGACAACUGGAUGUCAACUGGAAACCUUUGUUUGAAGAUUUUGUCAAGUGUUGUGAGGAGAUGCCUUUCAGCUACAGAGAAACAUAAAUUCACAUCAAUAGCAUUUCCAGCUCUUGGGACAGGAAAUUUGGGAUAUCCAUUCAUCCAUGUUGCACAAACAAUGUUAAAAGCUGUGAAUGAUUAUGGAAAACAGUUUCCAAACACCUGCAUCAAGACUGUGCAUAUAGUUCUUCAUGAUUCAGAAAAAGAAUGCAUUAAGUCAUUUACGAAUGUGCUUGACAGUGAACUACAUACAUCAGCCACUAAGAUUGAAGAUGUUAUUUCAAGACCAGACAUACAUUUUUUGGAGUACAGAUUUCAUGAAAGAGGCCUUUUGAUUCAAUUGAUGCCCAAAGAGACUGAUGAGCAGGUGGAUGCAGUUAUAAAAUUUUCGAACAGCAAUCAUAGUGCAGGCCCAGUUGAUUUUACUUGGUGCAAGGAAGCUGGACAUUACACAGGUGAAUUUGAGUAUCAACAAUCCAAAGUGAAGAUUCUUGCUGAAAAUUGUUUCAGGAUGUUGGAAUCAAAAAGGAUCACUUCCGCAAGAAUAGACAUCAAAGAUAUGUAUAAAGACAGAAAUGGACACUAUGAAGAAAUAAUAGAGGAAUUUUGCAAGAAACUAUCAGUAACUGCUUCAAGCAAAAGUGGAUCAAAUACUGACCAAAAUGACAGGAUGCGUUAUCUGAAAAAAUUACAACUUCUCUUGCAUGAGGAAGAGUUUCAAAGGAUACUGGAGCAAAGGAGUUACACUGAGUCACAAUCCAAGUUAACCAAGUGGUUUCCAUCACUUUUAAAAAAAGAUGCUGAAUUGGACUGGAAAGAAGUUCAAAGAAGACAAGCACCAGAGGUGCUCUGUUGUGUUCUAGGCCCGUCCCAAAAGCACGUACAAAACACGCUGGAACACUUUAAGGAAGAAGUUGCAUUGAGAAUUAAGGGUACUGGAAGAUGGUGUGUUUGUCGAGAUUACAAAUGGGAGUUUGUAUCUAAAAAAUGCAAUAUCAAACUCAAUGAGGCAGAUGAGAUAGGCUCAUCAGCAAUAGAAAUAAAAGAUGAGGAUGGUAUAACAUACACAUAUAACAUUGACACAAUGGAGAGACGACCAUCUGAAAAUCAAGGUGAUAUAAGGAAGCAGAAAAUUUUAUGCAUUGAAGGUGAUGAUGAAAACAUCCCCUUUCAUCCAAAAACAGCAGUUUGGUGUGUAUUGCACAAAGACAGAUGGAUGUUUUUGCCAUUCCAGUGCUGCGAGGAGUUAAAUGAUGCAGCUAAAAAGGGAAAGAAGUCAGUAAAAAUUCAGGGUGAUGUUACAAGUGAUGAACAGUUGUAUGAGUAUGAUUUGGACCGAAAAAAACGGAAAUUAAUCAUGCAGGGUAGUGAACAAAAAAGCGAAGAUAUCAUUUCCAUAGAAGCCCCCCAAAAGGAAGGCCUGGUUGAUCAAGAAAUGGACAAGUCAAAGCUAAUGAAUGACUUUCCUAUUUUUGAAUUUGUCACUGGAGUUGUAAUGUGUCAGGAAACAGUAUUCGACUUCUCAAAGGAAGAAAUUUGUCAGAAAAUAGAAGAUGCAGGAUGCAAAAUAGAGAAAGACAGAAACUCUGUAUUGCUUAUACAAGGGAGCUUAUCACAAAUUAUUGAAGCAAACAGAAAAUUAUCUGUUAAAGGGAAGAAAGGGGAACAUAGCUCAUCAGAUAUGAUAAACUAUGUUAUCAAUAUCCCUAUGAAUGAAAGGGAUUACAGAGCAUUCCUUUACUUUGCAGACCAACACAGCUGGUUUAAAAAAGUAGCUAAUGUUAUUCAGUAUGUUGAAGAUGCUUUAGUUUGCACUUUGCCUGCUGAUGAAGGCAAAUUCACCGAAGAAAAGAUGAAAGAGGAAUUAAAAUAUGUACAAAUGAUGAAUUCUGAUAUCAUUAUGACAAAGAACAAAGACAUUAAUAUUCAAGAGAUAAAAGAAGAAAUAAGACAGAAGAAGCCAAAUGUCUUUCUUUUACAUAGAGAGGAUAGCGUUGAAAUAAUUUGUGAAAGUUAUACUGAACUGUUAGAAGUGAAAGGUUUGUUGGAUCAGAAAUUGUCCGGUAAAGUUAACAGAAGGGCAGGACGUAAGUUUGCAAAGACCGAAUCUGCAGAAACAGCUGCAGAUAGUGAUGUGUAUAGGAGAAGAUUCAAUUCUGAGGAAGGAUUUCACACAACAUCUAAGUCUGAAAAUGACACUAACAGGCUAACAAAGGUUGAGUUGAAGACUCCUGAGGGUUUAGAGAUAAAGAUAUACAAAGAAAGUAUUAUCCACUUAAAUGUGGAUUGCAUUGUCAAUGCUGCAAAUGAAAAUCUUUGGCACGGAGGAGGAGUUGCUGCUGCGAUAUCAGAUGCGGCAGGCUAUGCAUUUGAUGAAGAAAGCAAGGACUAUAUAAGAAGGCAUGGCCCUAUACCAGUAGGUACAUGUGUUGAGACAUCCGCUGGCAAGCUACCCUAUAAGUAUGUGAUUCACACAGUUGGACCAAGAUGGAGUGACUAUCCUGACAAAGAUCGUUGUCUACGUGAUCUCUGUGAGUCUGUAGAGGUCACAUUUAGAAAGGCAGAUGAGUUGGGGAUGAAGUCAAUUGCAUUACCAGCCAUUAGCUCAGGAAUAUUUGGUGUCCCUGGAGAUAAAUGUGUAGAGCAAUAUUACAAAGCAGUGAUAACAUUCAGCAGACGUUAUCCCUUUCGGAGUCUCAAAGAAAUCCACUUUGUUGACAGAGAUCCAUCCAUGGUCAGUGCCAUACAAGCAACAUUCCAACAAAAAACUUCUUCUUCCUGCUAUAGUACUACAGGGUCCUCAGAAGCACCAGGCAGCGGGGAGACAUUACCACCAGAUGACAAAAAAAUGUCAUCAACUCAUGGAAGCCAAUUAAACAAACAGGCAUCAACUGCUGAUUCCAUUAUCAAAAUAUCAGAUAUGCUUACAAUCAAAGUUCAUCUGGGAAAUAUUACAGAUGUGACAACAGACAUUGUAGUUUGUCCUCAAGAUGAAUACUGCUCAUCAAGAGGCCAAGUUGCCAGAGGAAUUUUGAAUACGAUUCCUUCACAGUCUGAAAGUCCAAGUUGUGGAAGAAAGAAAAUUGGUCAAAUUUUGAUGCAAAACAUUUUUGGAAAUUCUCCAUGGAAGAUGAUCAUUCAUGCUGUUACACCAAGAUGGAACAAAGAUUCAGCAAAAGACCCAGGGAACUUUGAAAGAACAUUGAAUAUAAUGAUCCAAGAAAUUAUAAAAAAAGCAGAUGAGUUAAAGUACUUUUCCAUAGCUGUUCCACUCUUAGGUGCAGGGGUAGAUGAUUACCAAACACCUAUGGAAACAUGUGCUCGGAACCUUUUCAAGGCUGUAAAAGCAACACGCUCUUCACUGAUUUAUCUCAAAGAAAUCUGCCUUGUUGUGAAAGAAGAGGCUGCCGAGAAAGCAUACCUGGAUGCAUUUGAAGAAGGAGGUUUUCAAGUUAUACCCAAAUCUUUCUCUGAGGCAUCCGAACCAGGGAGCAAAACAGAUUGGGGCAAAACAAUAAAACCUUCAGACUUGCCGCAAGAACAGGAGAACUGCUGUGUGUGUAUGGAUACACCCACAAAUCCAAAACGAUUGGGAAAAUGUGGCCACAUCUUCUGCAAAGAAUGUAUUGAGCAGUAUUUUCAGUACAAGCCAGUCUGUCCUAGUUGUGGUCAGAUUUAUGGGAAAAUGAAGGGGGAUCAACCUCCAGGGACAAUAUUAAUGAGAAAAACUUACCAAAGAUUAGAGGGUUUCAAUGAUUGCAGUAGCUGUAUUAUUGUGACAUACACAUUUCAAGAUGGAUCUCAGGGGCCUGAUCACCCAACCCCUGGUAAGAGGUAUAAAGGAAUAAGUCGCUCUGGUUAUCUCCCUAACAAUGAGAGAGGACGUCUGAUAGCUAAGUUGCUAAAUAUAGCAUUCAGCAGACAACUAGUCUUUACCAUUGGUCGCUCUAGAACUACAGGUCACGAUGGUGUUAUUACUUGGAAUGAUAUACACCAUAAAACUAGAGUUGAUGGGGGACCUCAAAAAUUUGGUUAUCCAGACAGUACCUACCUUGAUCGAGUGUUGGAAGAAUUGGCAGCAAAGGGAGUGACUCCAGAGUCAGCUGAUGAUCCAGAGGAAUACAAAGAAUAUUCCAACUUUGUCAAAUACUACAGCAGAUAAACAGAUUAACACGUAUUUGAAAAAAGAAUAGUCAAGACUGAUCAUUAUAGUUUUUUAGAAUAUUACUUGUCAUUUCUCAGAAAAUUAUUUAUUUUUACAUAGUAGAUGAGUGUGAUCACUAUGAGUUGAUUAUUUGUUGAAGGAACAUGUAAAUGGGUUUGUAUAUCGUAUAUUAAUAGUUCACUUUGUUGUAGAAAAUAGUACAGGCUUUAAUUACAAUUUUCCCAUUAUAUUACUUUACACUUGGAUAUUUUUCAGUGUGAUUAACAUGUAUUUUAUGAGAAAAUUAUUAUUAAUACUCUGCAAUAUGCAUAAAUUUGUGAUCGUGGAGUUUGAAUGGGAAUCAAUAUAAUCAAAGAUCCUUCGAUCUGCUUCAAUAGAUGUAAAUUUCUUGACAUAGACAUGAGCUUGAUAUAUUCCAGAAGAGUCAAUGCUUAAUUCAGCUGGCACACCACUAUUACUUAUUGGUAUUCAACUACUGGUAAAAAGUGGAAUCUGAAAUAAUGCUGAAUGAUUUUUUUUAAAAGAUGAUUUUAGCAUCUGUAUGUUAAUUAUUUGUAUCCUUGAUUGUAUAAUAUCAGUUCUGCAGAGUUUUGAUGAUAACAUAUAUAGUGUGAUUUUAAUAUUAUUAUAUUAUAUUUAGUUUGGAUUUGUCCCAUUUUUAACUAUUAUUCUGUUAAAUAUCAAAAGGUUUUCUUUACAAAAAAUAUUGAAUUAUCCUAUAACUAUAGCUUUCUGGUUUAUGGUCAGUCACAUUUUUUGAUGUAGAAAGAUUAUUCAGUUCAUUUAGAUUAAUUAAAGUUGUCUGGCCACCUCCCUUAUUGAUUUUUUUGUGAAAUAUAAUGUUUGAAUAGAUAAAAAAUAAUCUUGUAAGACUUCUGAUUGGCCAUAUAAAUUCAUAGAAUAUUUCAAAGAGAAUAGUACAGUAACUGUUUUUCCCAUGAUGUACAUGGAUACACUUGAAAUGUUUUGUUGUGUUACACCAACUUUUCUUUACAACCAAAAUAAAUAAAUUUAAAAAAUGAUAAACAAGAGAAAAAGGAAUUAAUAAAGAAAAGAGAGAUUGAAUUAAAAUAUAUGAGGGGCGAUUGACAAGUCCUGUUCAAUUUCAUAUUAACUAUUUCUCAAAAAUGGCUGAGCAUGAUACCAUUGAAAAGUGCUGGAAAAUUUGCACUCAUUUUAACUUUUUUCUCCUUUUCAUGACGUGAUAACUCAGAAAAUGCCCUCCAAAUGGUGAAUGAUUUCUGUGAAUUUUAUUAGAUGGAAAAGUGCUGUUAAACACUACUAAUCUGGCUAGAACUGAUCAUGAACAGAUGAUUUAUUUUCUUAAUGUCACCGACAAGAUUAUUUUCAACAUUUUUGAGAACAUACCAUUUCUAAACUCUAAAGGCUCAACCCCUCAACUAUUGUCGUAAAUCCUAUUCCGUGGGGGUUGGGUGGAGUAGGUUCCAAAUUUUUCAGUACUUCUGUACCUUAUUUUUUACUUAAAAUAAAAUAUUUUUUGUAUCAGGCUUAGUGAAAUAGUAAACAUGUGAAUUUAUAUCUUUAUUUGAAUGUCUUCUACUUCAAAUAUUUUUGUAAUGAAUUAGGAAUGAAAUUUGCCUUUGUAUACUUAUUAUCAAGACAGUGUAAAAUUUCAACAUUGGUCUUUAAAAAAAAUGUUUUAAAGAAAUUGAACAAAAAUUUCUGAUGUUAUCUACAAUAUUCAUUUCAGAUCUUGUUUUGCAGAAUAUUAUGUCAAGCUUUAUGGUGAAAUUAUUAUUAAGUUCCAAUUGACUAUUGGGAAUUCAACUUUUUGCCCUAUUUGGAUUUGUAAAAGUAAUUGACUGUAAAAAAAAGAAGACAUGUCUGAGACAAAGAAGUUGGGGGGAUAAGGUGGACGAAGUGUCUUUAGUGCGACAGAUAAAAAGUGAAAAAUUAAAUCUCAAUUAUAUCCACAUUUAUUUGAUAUUUCAUCUAAUGUUAAAGUAUACUUAAUGUUAAAUCUGUACAAUUUACAAAAAUCUCAUAAACACUUAAAAAGAUUUGCCUAUGAAAAAGCAUACACACACUAAAAAGAUCAGAAACGAUCAUUUUCCCAUUCUUUAAUUUUGUUUAUAUGAAUGGGAAUUCCUCCCUAUUUUUGAAAGAUAAUCCUAAAAGUUUGCAAUAAAAUAUACAUUUUUUAGUUUACAAAAACAUGGAGCGACGUCCCACUAUACUUUAAAGGUACACUUAUGGCACAAGAUUCGCAUCUUUCUGAAAAAUAUUUCAAUUCCAUUAAGUCAAGGGUUAUAUCACAAAUAUGAUUUAAAUGCCCGAAAGCAUUUUGAGUAAUGUAGUAUAGUGGUUAGUGCAUUAGUCUCAAAGCAGUAUGAAUGAUACUUCAGAUUUUUAUUGCUAGGGGUUCGAAUUCCACGAAAACCAUCUAAUAUUUUUAUGAAAGAAAAAUUUUUUUUGUGAUUUUCUUUUCUCUCAAGAAAAAGUUUUUUUCUCUCAUAAUUUCAUAAAUUUCAAUAAUGAGAAGUUGAUUUGAGGUCUUUCCACUCUCACAAUUUAAUGGUUAAAAGUACAAAAAUUGAAUUUAUUUCCAUUUAAUAAAGUUAAAAUUUACCAAUUAUUUCCAAAUACCGUAUGUAUAUGUCGUAUCAUAAAUAUUAUGUAAAAACUUAUUCAAAUGCAUAAUUAUGAUGCUGAAAGUUGCUAAAUACUUGGUACUUAUAAGAUACUUUUGAAUUGUGAAUAUCAGGGAAACUAUUUCACAUUAAAGUACAAUGAAGAAAAUGCAUGAAUGAAGAUACCUGAGAAAGAAUUAUUGCCCUUGUCUACAUUUUUAUCAAGAUUGAAUAAUUAAAGGAAAUAUGCAUUUUUUAAAUUCUUUUACUUAACAAUAUUUAUCAUUACACCUAUGGAAAAUCAUUCUUCCAAAAUAUAUUGUUCUAUUGGGUAUGAAUUUAAUAUAAUCAAAGUUUUUUUUUUUUUUAUAAAAAUAUCAUUACAUUAUCAUUACACCUAUGGAAAAUCAUUCUUCCAAAAUAUAUUGUUCUAUUGGGUAUGAAUUUAAUAUAAUCAAAGUUUAUUUUAAAUAAAAACCUAUGUCAUAAAAGGAGGGUGGAAUUACCUUAAAUACUCAAUUCAUAUACAUGUAUUGAAUAUGAUAUCUUAAUAUCUGUCGCUAUAGGCAUUCUGCCGCCUUUUCCCCUUAUCAUCUUUGAAAAA